CCUACGGGAGGCAGCAGUAGGGAAUUUUCCACAAUGGACGAAAGUCUGAUGGAGCAACGCCGCGUGAGUGAAGAAGGGUUUCGGCUCGUAAAACUCUGUUGUUAGAGAAGAACAGCCGUGAGAGCAACUGCUCACGGUAUGACGGUAUCUAACCAGAAAGUCACGGCUAACUACGUGCCAGCAGCCGCGGUAAU
rnacentral:rRNA from 1 species